AAGACCUUAUGCUUAUGGAGCGGCCGAUGCCUGAUUAGCUUGUUGGUGGGGUAAUGGCCUACCAAGGCGACGAUCAGUAGUUGGUCUGAGAGGACGACCAGCCACACUGGGACUGAGACACGGCCCAGACUCCUACGGGAGGCAGCAGUGGGGAAUUUUGGACAAUGGGCGAAAGCCUGAUCCAGCAAUGCCGCGUGAGUGAAGAAGGCCUUCGGGUUGUAAAGCUCUUUUAGUUAAGAAGAAAAGGUUGUGACUAAUAAUCACAAUUAAUGACGGUAUUAACAGAAAAAGCACCGGCUAACUACGUGCCAGCAGCCGCGGUAAUACGUAGGGUGCAAGCGUUAAUCGGAAUUACUGGGCGUAAAGGGUGCUCAGGCGGUUUUGUAAGUCAGAUGUGAAAUCCCCGGGCUUAACCUGGGAAUU
rnacentral:rRNA from 1 species